CAGGCUGGAGUGCGGUGGCAUGAUCUCGGCCCACUGCAACAUCCGCCUCCUAGGUUCAAGCGAUUCUUCUGCCUCAGCCUCCCGAGUAGCUGGACUACAGGCAUGCGCCACCACACCCAGCUAAUUUUUGUAUCUUCAGUAAAGAUGGGGUUUCACCAUAUUGGUCAGGCUGGUCUCAAACUCCUGACCUCAGGCGAUCCACCCACCUCAACCUCCCAAAGUGCUGGGAUUACAAGCACAAGCCACCGCGCCCGGCCAGGUUGACACAUAAGAUUAAUCAUUGCUCACAGUUACUAAGCGGCAGAGCUGGGGUUCGAAACUAGCAUUUCAGGCACUGUGCCCCACACUCGGCUUCAUGGCUCACCAGCCUGCCAGGUGGACACGCCCAGUCUCGCUCUUCCUGUCUCCACCCACUGUGUGUGUGCACCUGCCAUGUGCCAGGGGGCACGGAGGGGCACAAGUUGUGUUUCCAUCGCCUAGAUUUCCCCAGCUCAUGGUGGAGAUGGACACAUCCAAAACUCUGAUCUGAGAUGAGUCUCCUUGGUAUCUGAAGGAUGUCCUUCCUCUCUGGGUCUAGAACUCUGGAGUGACAGCUCUUUUCUUCCAGCACCGUAAACACGUUGCUCCCUUGUCUUCUGGAGCCCAUCAUUUCUGCUGAAAAAUAAUCUUAUUGUCCCCUUGAAGCAGGAGUUGGGAAAUCCCCUGAAUGAAAAGCGAGCAACAGCGUUGGCUCAUCUCUCCGCGGUUCCCCUUUUGCUGAGAUCUCAGCCCUUUGAGUCCCGAUUGGCUCAGCUGCUCACCAGUGUCUUCAAAAAGAGCAUUCGUAUUUUACCCAGCUUGUCUACGUAGUGAUCUAUGCUGGCUACUUCAUAACAGCCAGAAGCAAUAGUCAUUAAGUGGAUGGUCCCUGAAACGUAAGGGACCCGACAGCCACCACGGCGAGGAAGGCGCAGAAGGGGCAGCACGGAGCCGUGAGCCACAGAGAUGCUGCAGCCUGGACCAGCCAUCAUCAGACAGGCGUGUGCCGUCAGCGCUCAACGUGUGAGAAAGCACAGAGCCAGGCCCUUCCCAAGACCCCACUAUGAACCCGAUUGCUUCGGCCUGGCUGCCUUCCUCCAAAGGGGUGCAGGCGGGGCCCACGGGACCCCAGUUCUCUAGUCUCGCCUGACUCUAGGCAGAACUCUAGUGGCUCUGAUCUCUGGGCAGAACUGACUCAAGAGCCACUGAAGAGACCUUCGCCUGGGGUCCUAGACUGGGCUGCAAGGAGUCUUUGAAUCUCUUGAGAUUGUGCACUAAGUAUUUACCUGCACGCAUUUUUCCAGGAAGAGGGCCUGCGGCUUGCAUCAUAUCCCCACCGUGGUCUGUGACCAAGAAAGUAGUCAGCAUCUUUAGGCUAGAGGAGGCGGGAGCCCCGGAUUCCAAUCGCAGUUCUCCCUGGCUGUGUGAGCUUGAUUUGUCCUUUCUCUCUCUGAGCCCUGAUUCUGCCUCUUUUCUGCAAGGACCUUGAUCGCUGGGGGCGGCAGGGCUCUGUCUGCUGAACCCCAGAUCCCUCUGCACUUUCCCUGCUCUGCUCAGUAGCGUGGGGCACUGGCCCAGCAAAGUUCAUUUCCAGGUUCUUGUUGUGUUCUGACCCUGAGAGGCUCUGGCCGGGACUGGGAGGGUGGGAGGGUGGGAGGCCCAGGUAUCUGCCCACAUCUCUGCUUCAGGCACCAGCUCUGGCAGGGGCGGCCUCUGUAGUUCACUUCCUACAGGUGGCCCCUUCUUCCACGGGGCCCCCAAGGGGUGCGAAUCUCACCCUCCAUACACCUCUUUUUGGACCCUCUGUGUAUUAAACUCCCUAAGGAGCCACCUGACGUGAGCUCUGGAGCCUGAGCCGUGGCUGAUAACCAGGUGAUUGCCAAGUGCCUUGAACACCAAUAUUCCCACCCAGGGUUGCCCAGUGACUUCACAGCAGGGCAGCGUUCCCCCGUGCUUGCCCUGGAACCCCUUUUUGGUUGACAAAUUGUAUGUUUUCAGAAUGGUUUGAGAUUUACAGCAAAACAGAGAAGACAGCCCAGAAAGCACUCAUAUCCCCUCGCCCUGCCACCCCUCAUCCUCAUCCGCAUUGGCGUGGGCCUGUCACAGCCAUCCACCUGCUCGUGACCAAAAUCCACUUUAGCCAGAUUUCCUUCAUUACCUAGUGUCCCUUUUCUGUCCAGGACCCCAUCCCGGACACCAUAUGAUAUCUCCUCCCCUUGGGCUCCUCCUGGCUGUGACGGUUUCCCAGACUUUCCUCGUCUUGGUUUUUAUUUUUUUUGAGACAGAGUCUCGCUCUGUCACCCAGGAUGGAGUGCAGUGGCACAAUCUCGGCUCACUGCAAGCUCCGCCUCCCGGGUUAACGCCAUUCUCCUGCCUCAGCCUCCUGAGUAGCUGGGACUACAGGCACCCGCCACCACGCCCAGCUAAUUUUUUGUAUUUUUAGUAGAGACAGGGUUUCAUUGUGUUAGCCAGGAUGGUCUCCAUCUCCUGACCUCGUGAUCCGCCCACCUCAGCCUCCUAAAGUGCUGUGGAUUACAGGCAUGAGCCACAGCGCCCUGCCUCUUUUUUUUUUUUUUCUGAGCUGAAGUCUUGCUCUGUCACUCAGGCCAGAGUGAAGUAGCAUGAUCUCGGCUCCCUGCAACCUCUGCCUCCUGUGUUCAAGCAAUUCUCAUGCCUCAGCCCCUAAGUGUCUGGGACUACAGGCCCAUGCCACCCACCACGCCCAGGUAAUUUUUUUUUUUUUUUGUAUUUUUAGUAGAGACAAGGUUUCACUGUGUUGGCCAAGCUGGUCUCAAACUCCUGACCUCAGGUGAUCGCCUUGGCCUCCCGAUUUCCUUGUCUUCAAUGCUGGGCAGUUUUGAGCAGCGCUGCUCAGGUGUUUGUAGGGCAUUCCUGGGCGAGAUCCGUCUGCUGCAUGCCUCACAGUUGGGCUGGGUGAUGGGUGGUUAAGUUUGGGAGGAAGAGCAUGGGGGCAACGCACCCUCUCCCCACACACAUCAGGGACACACCAUCAGCGGGGCACGCCACGGUUGGUGCUGGCCUUGAGUGAAGGGCUGAGGUGCACCCGUCUCUCCAUGGUAAAGCCACUUCCUCCUUCCCACCCUGUCUCCUCGGGAAGCCUGGACCCCCUGUUGCGGAGCCCCUUCUGGACCAGUGCGCCUGGGAAAUGCUGAGCCAGUUCCAGCCUAGCACACAGUAGGUGCCUAAUUGAGCCUCCCCGAACUGGAUGGAGCAUGGGAAAUCAACCCACGGCUGUGGCCUCAUUAGGAAGGAAGUUUUCCCUCCACUCAACUCCCUCUUGGCUUGUGGUCUAAUUAAGCUCUGCUGCUCCCUCGGGCCUGGGCCGGUUUGCACGGCUCACUCCCGACUUGAGGGGUUCCCGCCAGGCCCUGCUGGCUCCAGCUUCUGCCCACCCAGAAGGAGUGUGCCGGGGAGCUGAGGCCCCCACAAGGGCUCCCAGCCAGAAAGGCAUCUGGAUCCCCCACCAGCGCCCUUUCUAACCACCACAUAAGCAUCAAAAGCACACGGCACAGACAAGCCCACAAACAGAAGAGCAGAGGGUCCGGCUCUCCCCGCCUCCUCCCCCGGCCACACCCGGCAUUUCUAGGAGACUUUUCCCCAAGGCUCUGAGCCCU
rnacentral:lncRNA from 1 species